UGGUGGAGUGAUUUGUCUGGUUAAUUCCGAUAACGAACGAGACUCUAGCCUAUUAAAUAGUUAACGCAUGCUGAGCAGUGCUUGUUAACUUCUUGGGGGGAUUUACCACGUUAUAGUGGCAAGAAGUUGAGCAAUAACA
rnacentral:rRNA from 1 species